ensembl:lncRNA
CCAAGCCGGGCGCUCGCUGGCCGCCCCGGCUUCUCGCUAGGAAAUCCUCGAACUGGACGUACAACUCUGUGAAGACGGGAACAGUUCCAUUUUACAGAUGAGGAAAAUGAUACUCUGAGAGGGGAAGGGAAGUUUCCGAGACCACAUAGUGAAGCGGCAAGAGGGAGACUGAGGGGCUUUGGAAAGGAACAGGGCUGGGACGGGCCAUCUUGGCAGGCCGGAGAUCUGAUGGGAGUGACUGAGGCUCGUGCCCCAGCUGAGGACUCGCUGAGGAGCCGAGGCCAGAGCCACAGCCUUGGGCCUGAAGCAAAGGCAUCCUCCCUUCCUCCGCCUUCCCUGAAGGGCUUAUCUUGUGCUAAGAACAGUACCCGAAGUCUCUGCCCCAGCUCGUGGCCAAGAAGAGCUUGGAUGGCCUGCGCUUCCUUCUUCAUCAGAACGCAGUGGGAAGUGGGGGUGAGGGGCAGGACCCGCUGCCACAACUUGCAGGGCUCACUGCAAAAUGACACGUGGUGCCUUUGUUUCAAAUGAUUAAGAAUUCAAGAUGGUGACAGCAGAGCGGUCAGUCAAGCCCAGGGCCCUUCUGAGCGCAAGGCCCUGCAGAGACGCACAAGCUGAAGGCCCAGGAGGCUGUCCCUGUCAGAAGGCUGCCCUGGGGCCUGGGCGCCGGCCUGCUCUUUGCCUGUGUGUGCCUGCGUGUGGGAGACGGAGAGAACACUUGGGAGCGA